GCUUUCCUCUCAACCAACAUUAACCGUUAUCAUUGUGCGGUCGAUUGAUGCCAAGUUACACAGCCAUUGAUCCGGCAUAAUCAGUUUUUCUGAGCAAUAAAGAAAAAGGACAGAAGCUAGGACUUGCUGUUAGAUGCCUGUGGCUUCUUAUGCCUUGGUUUGACAUUGGUUUGACAUAAAGUAAAUUGAUCUUAAAGAAUGGAAGAACAGGCCAUGGAAAGGGAGAACCAGGAAUGUGAAGAAAACAGUGGAAAGAUGAGCCGGAUUUUAGAUAAAGGGUUGGCUCUGGGAAAGAAGAUGUUGAUUACUGGU
rnacentral:misc_RNA from 1 species